rnacentral:rRNA from 1 species
GCCCUUAGAGUUUGAUUCUGGCUCAGGAUGAACGCUGGCGGCGUGCUUAACACAUGCAAGUCGAACGAAGCAUAUAAGGCGGAAUUCUUCGGGAGGAAGCCGUAUAUGACUUAGUGGCGGACGGGUGAGUAACGCGUGAGUAACCUGCCUUACACAGGGGGACAACAGCUGGAAACGGCUGCUAAUACCGCAUAAGCGCACAGGACCGCAUGGUACGGUGUGAAAAGAUUUAUCGGUGUAAGAUGGACUCGCGUCUGAUUAGUUAGUUGGCGGGGUAACGGCCCACCAAGACAACGAUCAGUAGCCGACUUGAGAGAGUGAUCGGCCACAUUGGGACUGAGACACGGCCCAAACUCCUACGGGAGGCAGCAGUGGGGAAUAUUGCACAAUGGGGGAAACCCUGAUGCAGCGACGCCGCGUGAGCGAAGAAGUAUUUCGGUAUGUAAAGCUCUAUCAGCAAGGAAGAUAAUGACGGUACUUGACUAAGAAGCUCCGGCUAAAUACGUGCCAGCAGCCGCGGUAAUACGUAUGGAGCAAGCGUUAUCCGGAUUUACUGGGUGUAAAGGGAGCGUAGACGGCAUGGCAAGUCUGAUGUGAAAGCCCGGGGCUCAACCGCGGAACUGCA